rnacentral:rRNA from 1 species
GACGAACGCUGGCGGUGUGCUUAACACAUGCAAGUCGAACGGUAAGGCCCUUUCGGGGGUACACGAGUGGCGAACGGGUGAGUAACACGUGAGUAACCUGCCCUCAUCUCUGGGAUAACAGUCGGAAACGGUUGCUAAUACUGGAUAUGAGCUUGCAAGGCAUCUUGUGGGUUGGAAAGAUUUUUUGGUUGGGGAUGGACUCGCGGCCUAUCAGCUUGUUGGUGAGGUAGUGGCUCACCAAGGCUUCGACGGGUAGCCGGCCUGAGAGGGCGACCGGCCACAUUGGGGCUGAGAUACGGCCCAAACUCCUACGGGAGGCAGCAGUGGGGAAUAUUGCACAAUGGACGGAAGUCUGAUGCAGCAACGCCGCGUGCGGGAUGACGGCCUUCGGGUUGUAAACCGCUUUCAAUUGUGACGAAGCUUUUUGUGACGGUAGCAGUAGAAGAAGCACCGGCUAACUACGUG